rnacentral:rRNA from 1 species
CCUACGGGAGGCAGCAGUGGGGAAUCUUGCGCAAUGGGCGAAAGCCUGACGUAGCAACGCCGCGUGAGGGACGAAGGUUUUCUGAAUUGUAAACCUCUUUCAGCAGGGAAGAUAAUGACGGUACCUGCAGAAGAAGCACCGGCUAACUACGUGCCAGCAGCCGCGGUGAUACGUAGGGUGCAAGCGUUGUCCGGAUUUAUUGGGCGUAAAGAGCUCGUAGGCGGUUUGGUAAGUCGGUUGUGAAAUCCCCAGGCUCAACCUGGGGCCUGCAUUCGAUACUGCCAUGACUAGAGUUUGGUAGGGGACCACGGAAUUCCUGGUGUAGCGGUGGAAUGCGCAGAUAUCAGGAGGAACACCAGUAGCGAAGGCGGUGGUCUGGGCCAAUACUGACGCUGAGGAGCGAAGGCGUGGGGAGCAAACAGGAUUAGAUACCCUGGUAGUCCACGCCGUAAACGGUGGGCACUAGGUGUGGGGACUAUUCAACGGUUUCCGCGCCGACGCUAACGCAUUAAGUGCCCGCCUGGGAGUACGGCCGCAAGGCUAAAACUCAAAGGAAUUGACGG